AAGAAUAUCAAAGAGAAAGAUAAGAUGAAAAAAUAACUGGAGAGUGAGAAAAAAGAAAAAAGAAAAGACAAAAAUAAGAAUGAUAAAGAAAUAAGAGGGGAAUAAACUAGAUAUUUAUAUAGAAAAAAUCAAAUAGAAUAAGACAGAAGAAGGAAGAAAGAAUAAGAAAUAAAGAAAAGGAAAGAGAAAGAGUAGAAGAAGAAAAAGAACAUGACAAAAGAAGAAAGAAGAAGGCAUAAACAAUUGGUUAUUUUUAGUACUUUUAAUCUUGGUUUAAAUUGUUUAUAUGUUUCUUCCAUAUAAUUUAGAAGCAAUACUUUAAAACCCAUCAAACU
rnacentral:lncRNA from 1 species